GAUGAACGCUGGCGGCGUGCCUAAUACAUGCAAGUCGAGCGAACGGACGAGAAGCUUGCUUCUCUGAUGUUAGCGGCGGACGGGUGAGUAACACGUGGAUAACCUACCUAUAAGACUGGGAUAACUUCGGGAAACCGGAGCUAAUACCGGAUAAUAUUUUGAACCGCAUGGUUCAAAAGUAAAAGACGGUCUUGCUGGCACUUAUAGAUGGAUCCGCGCUGCAUUAGCUAGUUGGUAAGGUAACGGCUUACCAAGGCAACGAUGCAUAGCCGACGUGAGAGGGUGAUCGGCCACACUGGAACUGAGACACGGUCCAGACUACUACGGGAGGCAGCAGUAGGGAAUCUUACGCAAUGGGCGAAAGCCUGACGGAGCAACGCCGAGUGAGUGAUGAAGGUCUUCGGAUCGUAAAACUCUGUUAUUAGGGAAGAACAUAUGUGUAAGUAACUGUGCACAUCUUGACGGUACCUAAUCAGAAAGCCACGGCUAACUACGUG
rnacentral:rRNA from 1 species